GAUGAGCAGUGCCAUGUCCGUGCCCAGGAUUCCAACCAAGGAAACACUGGGCCGCCUGCAGCGAGCGCGCGAACUUAACCACUCCGCCACAGGGCCAGCCCUAAAUCAUUUUUGAAAAUCGUGAGUUACAUUUAGGUUUUACACACCUAUUCAGUUCAGUCUAACAGAUUUUUUCCGCAUUCUUCCUACUUUCAGUCUAGCACAGUGUUAGGAGCUAGAGAUAAGAGAAAACUAAUCCAUGAGAGAGGGCUAAUCCAGGAGAGAAGAUAAUCCAGGAGAAAGGGCGAUCCAGGAGAGAGGGCGAUCCAGGAGAGAGGGCGAUCCAGGAGAGAAGGUGAUCCAGGCGAGAGGGCGAUCCAGGAGAGAGGGCGAUCCAGGAGAGAGGGCGAUCCAGGAGAGAGAGUGAUCCAGGAGAGAGGGCGAUCCAGGAGAGAGGGUGAUCCAGGAGAGAGGGCGAUCCAGGAGAGAAGGUGAUCCAGGCGAGAGGGCGAUCCAGGAGAGAGGGCGAUCCAGGAGAGAGGGCGAUCCAGGAGAGAGGGCGAUCCAGGAGAGAGGGCGAUCCAGGAGAGAGGGCGAUCCAGGCGAGAGGGCGAUCCAGGCGAGAGGGCGAUCCAGGCGAGAAGGUGAUCCAGGAGAGAGGGUGAUCCAGGAGAGAGGGCGAUCCAGGAAAGAGGGCGAUCCAGGAGAGAGGGCGAUCCAGGAGAGAGGGUGAUCCAGGAGAGCGAGUGAUCCAGGAGAGAGGGUGAUCCAGGAGAGAGGGUGAUCCAGGAGAGUGGGUGAUCCAGGAGAGAAGAUGAUCCAGGAGAGAGGGUGAUCCAGGAGAGAGGGCGAUCCAGGAGAGAGGGUGAUCCAGGAGAGAAGGUGAUCCAGGAGAGAAGAUGAUCCAGGAGAAAGAGGGAUCCAGUGUCCCGUUCU
rnacentral:lncRNA from 1 species